GGUCCGACGAGACACCACCGGCACCGGAGCCCUAGGUUUUCCCUUCUCCUUCACCACCUCGCGGCGACUCCUUGCAUUGCCUUGCCUCUUCGUUUGCUGUCGCCGAAGGUGUGCCCUUGCCAGAUCCCUCUGCCGAAGCUUCUCCCUGUCCCUUCCUCUCUUCCGGCCGAGCAGUGUCACCAGUCUCCUGAGCCCUAGCGCCAACCGUCGUGCCUUAAUUCAUGACCGCCGCCCCUCUGCUGCAAUUUGGCAGCACGACCAUCACUGGUGAGCCUUGUCUGCCGACCUCAACAGCCCUUUCGGUGACUGCUGUUUGGGGUGAGGUGUUAAUGGUGGAUGGAGGAUAGAUUCAUCAUGGGUUUGGUUUCGGACCGGAGAAAAUAGUGCCAAAUCCUUUAUUGUGUUUCUGCUCGACAGUGCCGAAGAGGACACAGAGCUAUGCCGUAGCCGGAUCUUGGAGUGAAGAAUUUUCAGCAGCCAACGUCCCUUAAUGGCAGCAAGUUCCAGCCAGCAAUUCUUUGGUUUCAGUACAAACCGGUGGCUGUGAAUUAAGGACUUUGACACGAGACGAGCAUCUCGAUGUUGGAUUUGACUGGAUUGAACCUGCUAUUGGAGGCG